GUGUUACCCUAGGUUUAGCAAUUCGUUGCUCAUUGUCCGUUGGGAUGGUGUGAUUUUCUUGCGUGUACUGUAAAAUCGGUAAUACGAAUAUUGUAUAUGUAAUAAUUAAACUAUUUUGUGAACAAUUAACAGUUACAAACAUGGACGAUAAACUUCGGCAGAUGGAAGAUGAGAUGAACAGAUUUGAGGCCGAAAUCGGCGGGCAGCUCGUCACACCGAUUGUACGUCCAGUUAUUGGUGCAAAUACGUACAAUCAAGUUGCUAGGCAGUUGGAGCAACAUGAACUGCCGACUCCUGUAGUCGCGGCAGCCGCAGCAGCUACACUGGCAUUUCCUCCAAUGAUUGGAUUUCCACCACCACCUCCACCCCCACCUCCUCCACCGCCCCCACCGAUGUUAAUUCCGCAACAAGUAGCAAGACAAGGUACAGUUCCUAUUACAACAUAUUCCUCGCCCGCGCAAAUAAGUAAUCCGUACAUGUCAAAUAUGGUGGAUCCGUGUUUAAGUGCUACGCCGAAAACGUACGAUUCUACGUCAACGCCGAUGAUACACCCGGAAAUUAUUGAACAGAUUAUUAACACAAAGAUACCUGAGGACGAGGGUAAGAAGAAACCAAAAAUCAAGGGUGUCAGUACAGCAGCUGAGCUUGCCAUCAGUCAAGGAAAAGCGAGUUCUAUCAUGGCAAAUGCCAGCGCGGAGGAGAGUCAUCCUAAGGGUAAAGGCAAGAAAAACAAGAAGAUUAUAAGGACGGCGGGCGGACAAACAUGGGAGGACCCUUCGUUAUUGGAGUGGGAUGAGGAUGACUUCAGAAUAUUUUGUGGAGAUCUAGGGAACGAUGUCACCGACGAGAUGUUGGUGAGGGUGUUUGGCAAGUAUCCCAGCUUCCAGAAGGCGAAGGUGGUCAGAGAUAAACGGACGAACAAAACUAAGGGCUUCGGGUUUGUGUCGUUCAAGGAUCCGCAGGAUUUCAUUAAGGCAAUGAAGGAGAUGAACGAUGGAUGACGCUUUGUAGGCCAUUCGCCUAUCUUUCUUGUAGUUAUCUUAUUUUCGAAAAAUGGAUGACAAACACGCUGCGAAGAGACGCCUCCGCGAAUGCUGGGCAUAGUUUUAGUGGCGUAUAAACCGUGACAUGGUCAUUCGAGGCCCUGAAGUUCCGUUUCGAAGCGUUGUUUACGAUUAGGAGGACCAAGUGAGAUCGAGUCGCAGAGAAGAAAAAGAAAGAGGAAGAAGAAAAAGAACGUACCUUCGGAAUACGCCGAUCGUUCGUUCGUUCGUUCGACUUUCGUUUCCACUUCCUCGGCACGCUCUUGGAGCGGAAUUUUCGGGGCGGAUUUGCGGCUCGGAUGCGGGACCGCGCGGUUUCCGGUUAACCGUUGGGGUGGAUACGACCAAGUGCGUCGGGAAGCCGAGCGUCCCGCUACUCAUUCAACAACCCCUACCCUCCUGCUACAAAUUCUCGUAAUACCCCACCCUUUUUGCGAGGACCAAUCGAACACCUCGUGGUAGGCCAUGCGAAUCGACUAUUCGCGCCGUCUUUCUUAUAUUUUUUCUGUUUAGCUUAUCGUCACCAUCUCUCAUCGUCGUCAUCGCCAAAGUCCUCGUUAUCAUCGUCAUCAUUACGAUUCUCCCGUUCGUUUUGGUCUCCCUCAGCUUGGACGGGUUUCUCUUGGAUGGGUAACGCAAGUUCCACAAGUGAUAAGAAUCACGGAUCACGGUUCUCGUUUUCUACGGAUUUAGGAUACACACAAAAGAAGAUACGUGGGUUCGCGACCUAUAAAACUCAGGAAGAGCUCUUGGAAACAGAGAAAUCUGGAGACCGUACGCAA